rnacentral:lncRNA from 1 species
AAAUUGCUCACAAAGGAUGAUGGGACUGACAUCUGAAGUAAAAGCCGGCAUAAAAUUAUCUGCUGAAAAUAAUAAUUCUGACACUCACAUUUGCCCUUUAGAUAUAUAGAUAUAAAUAAAGGGUAAAUUAAUCACACUGGCUGAGUCAUUUUAAAGAUUUCAGAGCUGCAGUAGUAUUCCUGCUCCGAUGAAAGUUGGGCUCGUAACCGAUGCUGGUGAUGAGAUCGAAAAAUCAGCUGAUGACCCAAAAUGCAGACUGUGCAAGGAAACCGACGAAACCAUUGAUCAUCUCCUCAGCUGCUGUAAGAAAAUUGCACAGACAGACUACAAACAGAGGCACAACUACGUGUCCCAAAUGAUUCAUUGGAACUUAUGCCUCAAGUACCACCUUCCAGCAGCAAAGAACUGGUGGGAUCACAAACCUGCAAAAGUAUUGGAAAAUGAACAUGCAAAGAUACUGUGGGACUUCCGAAUCCAGACUGACAAAGUUCUGGAACACAACACACCAGACAUCACAGUUGUGGAAAAGAAAAAGGUUUGGAUCAUUGAUGUCACCAUACCAGGUGACAGUCGCAUUGACGAAAAACAACAGGAAAAACUCAGCCGCUAUCAGGACCUCAAGAUUGAACUUCAAAGACUCUGGCAGAAACCAGUGCAGGUGGUCCCGGUGGUGAUGGGCACAUUGGGUGCCGUGCCAAAAGAUCUCAGCCGGCAUUUGGAAACAAUAGACAUUGGCAAAAUCACGAUCUGCCAACUGCAAAAGGCCACCCUACUGGGAUCUGCACGCAUCAUCCAAAAAUACAUCACACAGUCCUAGACACUUGGGAAGUGUUCGACUUGUGAUUUUGUGAUACGAAAUCCAGCAUAUCUAUCUUGUUUGCUGUGUCAUACAAUGUCAUUGUGUCAAUAAUAAUAAUAAAUUUAAUUUCUUACCCGCCUCUCCCCAUGGGCCAAGUUGGGUUACAACAUUGUUCAAACACAUACAGUAGAGUCUCACUUAUCCAACACUUGCUUAUCCAAUGUUCUGGAUUAUCCAACACAUUUUUGUAGUCAAUGUUUUCAAUACAUCGUGAUAUUUUGGUGCUAAAUUCAUAAAUACAGUAAUUACUACAUAGCAUUACUGCGUAUUGAACUACUUUUUCUGUCAAAUUUGUAGUAUAACAUAAUGUUUUGGUGCAUAAUUGGUAAAAUCAUAACCUAAUUUGAUGUUUAAUAGGCUUUUCCUUAAUCUCUCCUUAUUAUCCAACAUAUUAGCUUAUCCAAUGUUCUGCCGGCCUGUUUACAUUGGAUAAGCGAGACUCUACUGUAAUUAAAAGCACUCCAUAAAAUAUACAUAUUAAAAUGUAUUUCCAUAAAAUACAUAUUAAAAUACACAAACAACAGUUAGGCAUAGAGUGGAAGUUUAAAAUUCAUCAUUAAAACUGUCUGAGUA